GCGGGGGUUGCCAAGCUAGGUCAAAGGCGCAGGACUUAAGAUCCUGUCCCUUAGUGGGUUCAUGUGUUCAAAUCACAUCCCCCGCACCA
rnacentral:tRNA from 1 species